GGACGUCAUCGUGCUGUUUUCAGUAUGGAUGCUGUUUAGUCCGCUGACAGCCGUUGCUGCUUGCCACCGUUAUACAUGGCACGUUUGCACUAAAAUAAUCACCUAUCAUCGUUGAUUUUGUUUCUGUCUGAAAGAGCAAGGUGAAUAUCAAAAUGACUGACAGCGGGGAUCUUUGUCCUCACCUGGACUCUACUGGUGAAAUUACCAAGGAGGAACUCAUUCAGAAAUCAAAGGGCACGUGUCAGUCAUGUGGGGUGGGUGGCCCUAACCUCUGGGCAUGUUUACAGUGUGACUGUCCCUAUGUAGGCUGUGGUGAAUCGUAUUCAGAUCACAGUACUAUCCAUGCACAGACCAAAAAGCACAAUCUGACCGUAAACCUGACCACAUUCAGGGUGUGGUGUUAUGUCUGUGAGAGAGAGGUGUUUCUGGAACCAAAGCCUGUUACGCCUAUAUCAUCAGCUCACCGCUGCAAACCGCUUGAACAGGAUCCUCUACCCCAAAUGACAUGUCACUCAUUGAGGGCAGUGCCUAUCGCAGUGGCCGAUGAGGAAGGCUCAGAAUCUGAAGAGGAUGAGCUUAAACCUAGAGGUCUCACAGGGAUGAAGAACAUUGGCAACUCCUGUUAUAUGAAUGCUGCCCUGCAGGCUUUAUCUAACUGCCCUCCUUUGACUCAGUUUUUCCUGGAUUGCAGUGGCUUAGUGCGUACAGAUAAAAAGCCCGCAUUGUGUAAAAGCUAUCAGAAGCUUGUCUCUGAGCUCUGGCACAAGAAACGGCCGAGUUAUGUUGUUCCCACUAGUCUCUUUCAUGGCAUCAAACUGGUGAACCCUAUGUUUCGGGGCUAUGCUCAACAGGACACUCAAGAGUUUUUGCGUUGUCUGAUGGACCAGCUUCACGAGGAACUAAAAGAGCCCCUAACUGAAUGCGGUGGUGCGAUCUUAGACAUCGACCCCGACCGCAGCUUUGAUAACCGUAACCAUGGUGAUGGAGACCGAAGCCCCUCUGAGGACGAAUUUUUAUCGUGUGACUCUGGAUCCGGGAGUGAAAGGGGGGAUGGAGACAGGUCGGGAGGAGAGGCGGAGCUGCUGAUCCAGGAUGAGUGUAUUGGAGUAAGAGAGAAUGGAGGGAUCUCGGAGAAAGAAAGGCUGAAGGAAAGAAAAGGAGAGGAGAGGAAACGGGAAAUGGAUGAAGAUGCAGAUGUAGACACGGCUGCAGAGGAUGGAGAGGCAGAGAGAGAAACAGACUCAACCGUCGUAACCGCAGCUGUGCAGGCACCAGGAAAUACAGAGCCUGAUAAUGAGGCUUCCAUGAACUGUCAAUCUUCUCGUCCCUGUAGCCCUGUCCACAGUGUUCAGGAGCUGCACUCCAAACUUUCUAGCAGUCCACCGAGGUCCAGCCCUCUUAGAACUGGCCCGACUUACACUUUCAAGAAAGCUCAGAUGCUUCUGGGAACCAGAAAGAAGAAGCAGUCCCGUUUCCGCAGUGUUAUUUCAGAUAUUUUUGAUGGGUCUAUUCUGAGCCUCGUUCAGUGUUUGACAUGUGACCGGGUGUCAACGACAGUAGAGACCUUUCAGGACUUGUCUUUGCCUAUACCAGGUAAAGAGGAUUUGGCCAAACUCCAUUCCUCCAUCCAUCAGAGUGCUCCUGUUAAAACUGGUGUCUGUACGGAUGGCUAUGCUGCCCAGGGCUGGAUCUCCUACAUCAUGGACUCUAUUCGACGGUAUACUGAGUUUGUGGUGUCCUGUAUUCCCAGCUGGUUUUGGGGGCCCAUGGUGACGUUGGAGGACUGCCUGGCAGCAUUUUUCGCUGCUGAUGAACUGAAAGGAGACAAUAUGUACAGCUGUGAACGAUGUAAAAAAUUGAGAAAUGGUGUGAAAUAUUGUAGAGUUCUCCGUCUACCUGAAAUAUUGUGCAUUCACCUGAAGCGUUUUAGGCAUGAGGUCAUGUACUCAUUUAAGAUAAACAGCCAUGUAUCAUUUCCAUUGGAGGGUUUGGAUCUUAAACCCUUCCUGGCUAAGGAAAGCCCAUCUCAGAUUACUACCUACGACCUGCUGUCUGUCAUCUGUCACCAUGGCACUGCUGGCAGUGGUCAUUAUAUAGCAUACUGUCAGAAUGUGAUUAACGGACAGUGGUAUGAGUUUGACGAUCAGUACGUAACGGAGGUGCACGAGACCGUAGUGCAGAACGCUGAAGCAUACGUCCUCUUCUACAGGAAGAGCAGUGAGGAAUCGGUAAGAGAGAGACAGAAGGUUGUAGCUCUGGCUAAUUUAAAGGAGCCAAGUCUCCUGCAGUUCUACAUCUCCAGAGAAUGGCUUAACAAGUUCAACACGUUCACUGAGCCGGGACCCAUUACCAACCAAACUUUUCUCUGUCAACAUGGAGGUAUUCCUCCAACUAAGCACCAUUACGUGGAUGAUCUGGUAGUGAUCCUGCCUCAAAAUGUGUGGGAAUAUCUUUAUAACAGGUUUGGGGGAGGCCCGGCCGUAAAUCACUUAUAUGUGUGCGCCAUCUGCCAGGUGGAGAUAGAGACAGUAGCCAAACGGCGGAAAAUGGAGAUCGACACUUUCAUCAAGUUGAAUAAGGAGUUUCAGGCCGAGGAAGCCCCUACGGUCAUUCUGUGUAUUAGCAUGCAGUGGUUCAGAGAAUGGGAGAACUUUGUCAAGGGCAAAGAUAACGAGCCACCAGGCCCUAUUGACAACAGCAAGAUUGCGGUAAUGAAAAGCGGAAAUAUCCAGCUCAAACAGGGAGCAGACUACGGACAAAUAUCUGAAGAAACGUGGCAGUACUUGUUAAGUAUUUAUGGCGGUGGGCCAGAGAUUGCUGUGCGUCAAACCAUCAGCCCUCCAGACACUGACACACACGGAGAGAGGAAGAUAGAGGCAGAGACCAGAGUGCUCUAAAGUGUCUGCGUGCGCACACAGGAAGAGACAUACCAGACAUAUUUCAGCAGAACACUCGUUCUAGUCAUCGUAUGGUACAGACUGGUUCGAAGCAGACACCGAUUACAUUAAUUGGUGAUGAUGCCUUAUGGAUGGUUUUUCGCACUAUGCUUACAUUUGUGUCUCACAAACACUUUUUGAACAUUUCUGUGGAUCUGUUAUCUGUGAUUGACAGAGCUACCAUAGUGUAGGAAUUGGCCGUGUUAGGUAACAAAAUUAUCAGACACAUUAUUAAUUCAAUACAUUCAUGAACAUGGUUUAUGUAUGCGCAUCUGUGAUACGCUUGUUUCGUCAAUGGGACUAAGGGCAAUGACGUAAGGCUAGUAUCUAAGUAUGUUAAUUCUUCGAUAAUGCAGAGGUAAAUUACAUGUUAUAAGCUGGACAUCUACUGUCACUCAAAAUGUAUGUUAGAGGUUGUUGCUGACUUCUGUGUAAGCAAAUUAGGGUUGAAAUUAGUACUGCAUGUCCAAAGCAGCUUUCCCUGGCACUUAGCUUUGAUUUAAUCACAAUAAUUUAAACUACAUGACAGGGUCAAAUAUUCAGAAUAAAAAUAGAGAAUGAAUUUUUUUUAGUAAAUACACUUUUAACUUUUGCAGUAAACUAUUUACAAAGCAAGUCCCAUUCGUAUACUUUCAACUAUUUCUUGCCAAAAAUAUAAAUACAAAAAUGAUUUCCUGUAACACUCAAAUGGUCUUGUUCACACUAGCCGAUGUUUCAAUAGAAACACUUUCUAGGGAAAAAAGCUUACCAAGAUUGUUGUGUAACAAGAAGGAUACUGACUUUUACAUGUUAUUGCGUAAGUUAAAAUUCAUGCAUAAAAAUGAGUCCACUUUAAAAGUAAAAGGACAGGAUGUGAUGUCAUAGAUGGCUUUGCCUUUCAAUGCUGCUAGUAAAGGGGAUUUUUAAACCUUUUUUUUGUUUACCCAAUUCAACUGACAUUCAACUUAAUUUUUUUACCAGAACCAUGUUAUUAGAACCCAUUUAUUAGAUUUGGAUGUUUAAUGCUCAAGAAAUGUUUUGUCGUCAUUAAGAUUAUGUUCUGUUUCAAGAUAUUAUGAAAUCCUCUGUUUUAAAAUGUAUAACUCCAGGCUAUUUCACAAUCAAAGGAAGUGAAUCUUCCCUGAAUAUCCCAUGCUUGGUGCAACAGCUUGUUGUGUAAGCUAUUUGAGAUCAUCAGUAUUAAAAGGUCUUAAAAUCAUUUCCUCAAAAUGGUACAAACAUGUACCAGCUUCUUCAAAUGUUUGGUAUGACUCUAAAGUAAAGUCUGCAUCAUGUUGCAGUGUUUAAAUGAAGUCGCAUUUAAUAAUUAUACACUGUUAAAAUGAUUUGUUGGUUCAACUUAAAAAAGUAAGGUACCUGGUUGCCUCAAAAGUUUAUGUUAAUUUAACUCAAAAAUUGUGUAAAAUUUUGUGUCAACUAUUAUUUUUAAGUUGAAUUAAUUAAUUUAAAGGCAACCAGGUAACUUAAUUUUUCAAGUUGAACCAACUUUUUUUACAGUUAUACAAUUCCACAACCGAUAGUACUAAACUAGUUUUCUAAGGGAACGUGCAAUGAGGUAGAUCAGAUGUGUCUGAAAUGCUCAUAGGGUAGGGUUAAAAUAUGUCUGUUUUUGAACAAUGUUUGUAUAUAAUAUUGUGUAAAUUUUUAUUUAUGAAUGUUUUUCUUUAAUGUAAAAGUUAAUUCUGCUGAAUUGUGUAUAUGAUAACAUGGCUACGUUUGAACACGAAGAAACUUAUGUUACAUAUUUUGUUGCAGGAACUUUCCAAGGUAACUUCUGAUGUGAUGUCUUUUAAACUUAAGUGAUUUCAAUGAGAUGUGUAUGAUUUGACAAAUAGAAAUAAAGUCUGUUCUUUAUCACUG